rnacentral:rRNA from 1 species
AUUGAACGCUGGCGGCAGGCCUAACACAUGCAAGUCGAGCGGAGCGGCGGACGGGUGAGUAAUGCCUAGGAAUCUGCCUGGUAGUGGGUGAUAACGUCCGGAAACGGGCGCUAAUACCGCAUACUAUCAGAUGAGCCUAGGUCGGAUUAGACAGUUGGUGGGGUAAAGGCCUACCAGGGCGACGAUCCGUAACUGGUCUGAGAGGAGGAUCAGUCACAAUGGAACUAGGACAAGGUCCAGAGUCCUAAGGGAGGCAGCAGUGGGGAAUAUUGGAGAAUGGGCGAAAGCCUGAGCCAGACAUGCCGAGUGUGUGAAGAAGGGCGUCGGAUUGUAAAGCACUUGAAGUUGGGAGGCGUUACCAACAGAAUAAGCACCGGCUAACUUCGUGCCAGCCGCCGCGGUAAUUC